GGGUCAGUAGGUUGGUCGUGCCACCGGUACGUACUGGUCUCACUGAUUCCUCCUUCCUGAAGAACCGUAAUGCCACUAAUUUGGUGUUGCGGGGAAACAGGACUGUUACUUUGAAAAAAUUAGAGUGUUUAAAGCAAGCUAACGCUCGAAUACAUUAGCAUGGAAUAAUGAAAUAGGACGAUCGAUCCUAUUUUGUUGGUUUCUAGGAUUGACGUA
rnacentral:rRNA from 1 species